UACGUAGGGCGCAAGCGUUUGUCCGGAAUUAUUGGGCGUAAAGAGCUCGUAGGCGGUUUGUCGCGUCUGCCGUGAAAGUCCGGGGCUCAACUCCGGAUCUGCGGUGGGUACGGGCAGACUAGAGUGAUGUAGGGGAGACUGGAAUUCCUGGUGUAGCGGUGAAAUGCGCAGAUAUCAGGAGGAACACCGAUGGCGAAGGCGGGUCUCUGGGCCGUAACUGACGCUGAGGAGCGAAAGCGUGGGGAGCGAACAGG
rnacentral:rRNA from 1 species